AACCUGUGAUGAGGACACCUUCUCAAAAGAUCCUUAAAUCUCUCCCCAUGCAUCAUAUAAUGUCUCCAACUCAAUUUGUGCAAAUGAAGAGAUGUUGUUCCUCAACUU
rfam:Gossypium raimondii Chr10_contig_1020, whole genome shotgun sequence.